rnacentral:rRNA from 1 species
GAUGAACGCUGGCGGCGUGCCUAAUACAUGCAAGUCGAGCGAACGGACGAGAAGCUUGCUUCUCUGAUGUUAGCGGCGGACGGGUGAGUAACACGUGGAUAACCUACCUAUAAGACUGGGAUAACUUCGGGAAACCGGAGCUAAUACCGGAUAAUAUUUUGAACCGCAUGGCUCAAGAGUGAAAGACGGUCUUGCUGUCACUUAUAGAUGGAUCCGCGCUGCAUUAGCUAGUUGGUAAGGUAACGGCUUACCAAGGCAACGAUGCAUAGCCGACCUGAGAGGGUGAUCGGCCACACUGGAACUGAGACACGGUCCAGACUCCUACGGGAGGCAGCAGUAGGGAAUCUUCCGCAAUGGGCGAAAGCCUGACGGAGCAACGCCGCGUGAGUGAUGAAGGUCUUCGGAUCGUAAAACUCUGUUAUUAGGGAAGAACAUAUGUGUAAGUAACUGUGCACAUCUUGACGGUACCUAAUCAGAAAGCCACGGCUAACUACGUG